AGACUAAGGCACUCCCUAGGUGUUGUACUGACAGUCAGGGGCCAUAGACAAGACUGAGACUCAUAGAGGCAGACUAAGGCACCCGCUAGGUGUUGUACUGUCAGGGUUCAUAGACAAGGCUGAGACUCAUAGAGGCAGACUAAGACACCCGCUAGGUGUUGUACUGUCAGGGUUCA